rnacentral:lncRNA from 1 species
UGGACCCAUUCAACUACAACUAUUGAAGUUGAGUCUGGAGUAUCCUUGACCUAAUCUAAUUCAUCUUUUGAUUAGAUUUGACCAAUUACUCCAUUUAGUCCUUUUUUUAAACUAACCUUAGGUCUAACCCAAUUAUGGACCUAAUUCAUCUAACCCAUUGACCCAUAAGUUUAUGCAAUUGUCUUAGGUUUUAAUUCACAAUUCUAGACCUACUAGAUAACACUUAAUUCUUUUAAUUAAGUACUUAGGCUGAUGGGUCAGGGUUUGGCAUUUCGAAAAUAAUUUUCAAAUUUGAAAGAUUUUAUUUUCUGUUCACCAAAUGUGUUAGCUCAUUUCACAAACGGGUCAGUACAUUUCAUAAACAGCAAUUCUAUUGCUCAUUUCAUAACAGAAAAUAACUCAAAAUAAAUCAUAAAUUUUUUUUUAGAUCUAAUCUAACACAUACAUGAUAAAUUUCUUAAUUAAGUCCUUUCGCUGCUUCAUCGGUAUGGGAUAUAAUUGCAUCGGUACCCCUACCGCCAUAGGAGACCCCAUCGAAUGGGAAGAGAGGGCCUUUAAAUCC